CAGUCGUCGCGGGAAUACGGAGGAUCCAAGCGUUAUCCGGAAUCAUUGGGUUUAAAGGGUCCGUAGGCGGUCUUGUAAGUCAGUGGUGAAAGCCCAUCGCUCAACGGUGGAACGGCCAUUGAUACUGCAGGACUUGAAUUAUUGGGAAGUAACUAGAAUAUGUAGUGUAGCGGUGAAAUGCUUAGAGAUUACAUGGAAUACCAAUUGCGAAGGCAGGUUACUACCAAUUGAUUGACGCUGAUGGACGAAAGCGUGGGUAGCGAACAGGAUUAGAUACCCCCGUAGUCCCUGUCUCUUAUAA
rnacentral:rRNA from 1 species